GCUCGCUGCGCAGGCCCGGUACGGCCGGGAGGCCCCGCUUGCGCAGGCGUAGUGCCGGUGGGGGAAACGAGAGGAGCGUCCGUUUGGUCACAUGCUGCCAGACCCACUGAGCUUCUCCUGCAACUUCUGUUUUAGAGCAACGAACAGUGAUAAGUGACAAAGAGACAUCUCCAAUCAAAUGUUUGCUAUCGACUUUGGUGGAGUACUCGAUCCUGCAUGAAGUGUUCAAUUAUCCUAAGUUUGCCCUAGUCAACAGAGGGCGCCUUUGGUAAAAGUUUCCUGCGGCUGGGACUAAUACACUUUGCUGGUUUGAUGCUAUAUAUGGAGGAAUAUGUCUUGUGCAGGGCUUUCUGUACACAAGUGCUUGAAGUUAAAUUGCAUUUUUACAAAAUAAUUUGUCAGUUUGUGAAUUUUCACGGAUUACAAUUUACACAGAUUUUGAUCAGCAAAAUUAAAGCAAUUCAUUUGAUUUGUAACUUUCUCAAUAUUAUCUGUAGUUCCCUGUCAUUGUGAGUGCAUCCUGUAAUUUGCUCAUGGAGUGUAACGUCUUGAUGUAAUGUGAUUCAAAGAAUGGUUACAAUUAAGGAGACCAAGUUGAGUCCAUGUUAGCUUUUAUCAAGAGCAAACCAGUUAGUACUAUUGUUCUACCCUUUCCACAUGAGCAGGCAUUGUUUCUAUCCAGAUGGCUAUUCAGUUCCCAAUAGGAAACCAUAAUUCAAUCUGUCUCCACCACACAUUCAGUGCAACUUAGUAAAAGCAUAUUUCAUUCACAUCACUUUGAUUAUAUUGCUUCAGUUAUACAAGCCGUUUCAUAUUUGUUUAUUUGGUUAUGCUUCAGUUACGCAGGGCACUGGUGAGACAACAUCUGCAGUCUUGUAUAUAGUAUUGGUCUCCUUUUUCACUGAAGGAUAUAAGUGUGUUGGAAGUAGGUCAGAGAAAGUUUAUUUGACUAAUGCCUAGGAUGAGUGGGUUGUCUUUUGAGAAGUGAACAGGCUAAGUUUGUAUCCACUCUAUUUUAGAAGGUUAAGAAACAGCUUGAUUUAAAUGAACAAUGAU